rnacentral:pre_miRNA from 1 species
GAAUAAAACAAUUAAAACUGGGACAACACAACCACAUAUUUUUUGUAAUUGUGACAACACAACCACAUAAAAGAUGUGGUUGUGCUGUCCCAGUUUUAAUUGUUUUAU